rnacentral:rRNA from 1 species
GAUGAACGCUGGCGGCGUGCCUAAUACAUGCAAGUCGAGCGAACAGACGAGGAGCUUGCUCCUCUGACGUUAGCGGCGGACGGGUGAGUAACACGUGGAUAACCUACCUAUAAGACUGGGAUAACUUCGGGAAACCGGAGCUAAUACCGGAUAAUACAUUGAACCGCAUGGUUGAAUAGUGAAAGACGGUGUUGCUGUCACUUAUAGAUGGAUCCGCGCCGCAUUAGCUAGUUGGUAAGGUAAAGGCUUACCAAGGGAACGAUGCGUAGCCGACCUGAGAGGGUGAUCGGCCACACUGGAACUGAGACAGCGUCCAGACUCCUACGAGAGGCAGCAGUAGGGAAUCUUCCGCAAUGGGCGAAAGCCUGACGGAGCAACGCCGCGUGAGUGAUGAAGGUCUUCGGAUCGUAAAACUCUGUUAUUAGGGAAGAACAAAUGUGUAAGUAACUAUGCACGUCUUGACGGUACCUAAUCAGAAAGCCACGGCUAACUACGUG